AUGGAAUUGAAAUUGCGAAACCUUCAAUUUGAAAUUGACAAUUUGAAUUUAUUGUUUUGGUGCCACUGUCAAAGAUGUCAAAUGAACAAACCUAUAUCAGCACAAAGAGCUUUCAAAUUUUCUGAUCAGUGUUAUCUUGCACGCUCUUGCAACAAGCAAAGACAAAUCAACUCAUUCGUCAAUUGUUAC